AGCGAACGCUGGCGGCAGGCCUAACACAUGCAAGUCGAACGAACUCUUCGGAGUUAGUGGCGGACGGGUGAGUAACACGUGGGAACGUGCCUUUAGGUUCGGAAUAACUCAGGGAAACUUGUGCUAAUACCGAAUGUGCCCUUCGGGGGAAAGAUUUAUCGCCUUUAGAGCGGCCCGCGUCUGAUUAGCUAGUUGGUGAGGUAAAGGCUCACCAAGGCGACGAUCAGUAGCUGGUCUGAGAGGAUGAUCAGCCACAUUGGGACUGAGACACGGCCCAAACUCCUACGGGAGGCAGCAGUGGGGAAUCUUGCGCAAUGGGCGAAAGCCUGACGCAGCCAUGCCGCGUGAAUGAUGAAGAUCUUAGGAUUGUAAAAUUCUUUCACCGGGGACGAUAAUGACGGUACCCGGAGAAGAAGCCCCGGCUAACUUCGUG
rnacentral:rRNA from 1 species